CCCUUUCUCUUUAAUAGAAAUGUCAACAAAAACAACCAAAUUCACAGUCGACUAUGACAGAUUGAAACAUACACGUGCGAUUGGCGCUAGUGAGAGCUUUAUAUGUAUUGUGCAUGUGCGAGUCAAUGUUUAUUUUUAA